rnacentral:misc_RNA from 1 species
AAACCACAAGGGGAGCCGAAGCUCCCCCAGAAGUAGUUGCAUGCUCUAUUUUUAUUUUUGGUUUCGGGCUUCUUGUUUUUGUUGAGUGCCCUCGUCAUGAAGCUUUCCUUCAUGACCCUCCCAAUCGGGAGCCAAGAGCAAACGGAUUGCUUUGGUCGCUGUGUUGCAGUGAUCUUGCGAUCCAACCAGUACAGGCUCUGUCUUAGGACAGUU